GCGGGGCUGCCCGGUGCGCCAGGCACUUCAUCCCCGGGGCCAAUGCACAUCCUCCGGGAGCUGGCUCUGUCCGGGCCGUGGUUCGGAUACCUGGUGCCCACCUGCGAAAGCAGGCCUUGGGAGGAUGAGACGCCAGCGGCCAGGGUGGCUCCGCA
rnacentral:other from 1 species